rnacentral:rRNA from 1 species
UACGUAGGGUGCAAGCGUUGUCCGGAAUUAUUGGGCGUAAAGAGCUCGUAGGCGGUUUGUCGCGUCUGCUGUGAAAACUCGGGGCUUAACCCCGGGCCUGCAGUGGGUACGGGCAGACUAGAGUGCGGUAGGGGAGACUGGAAUUCCUGGUGUAGCGGUGAAAUGCGCAGAUAUCGGAAGGAACACCGGUGGCGAAAGCGGCGCGCUGGACCUCUUCUGACGCUGAGGCGCGAAAGCCAGGGGAGCAAACGGG